GGUCCGAACCCCAACCGGAAAAGGAAAUAUGCGCUUCCGGUAGCUGCGUUGACAGCCACGCCCAGUCAUCUUCCCACCUCUACCUGUGAAGUGUCUUCCUAGCCAACUCAGGAACUGUCUCGCGAGUCCUUGCCAUCCCGAAGGAUCCUGCUUCCAGCUCCAAUUUUGCACUGGGAUUAAUGCCACCGAGUCUCCAGGUCUACUGCAAGUCUACGAUAGCCCCGCAAACCGUCAGUCACCUUGAAGCGAAGUAGCCUACUGACUUCUGGUGCCAAGGUUUCCUGUCCCCAAUUUGCAGUGUUGCGAAUCCACGUUGUUUCUGCUGGCUUCCCAGCGACAGCAGCCUCAUGGGACCCUGCAAUAAGGAGCUUGAACCUGAUAUUUGAAAUAAGACUACAAGACACUGGAGGUCAUCAAUCCUUCCAUUCAAUAGCAGAUUACUCACCACCGAAAUCCCUGCCAGAGUUGUUUCACAGUGACCCUAGCACUGAAGAGAAAUCUUCAGCCGGUUUUAUUUGCCUACAACUGGCACAAAUACAGACAGGCUGUCCCUGAAUUGCUGAGGCUGGCCUUGAACAUGCAAUCCACCUGCCUCAGCUUCCCAAGCCACUGGGAUUCCAGAUGUGUGCCACUGUACUGAGCUGCUUUAUCAGUUGUGCUGUCUUCGUGAAGCCAUUGGUAGAGU